CACACAAGUUACGCGCUCUAGUGCUUCUCAUAAAUCAUCUGUGCACAUAAUCUAAGGUCACCCACCAGUCGGAAUCUCACUAACACUCUCGCGACUGGUCUGUCGUACCCACUCCGCGUGGACUGUACGACUAGCAUCUACUUGGAUCCAAGGCGAGCGUGCGAUGCGGUGAAUACUAUAAGCACUAAACCAUGGUGCAGGAUUUGAGCUCAAUAUAUAUCAUCAUCAUCAUAACAGUAAUUAAAAUACUCAUCUGUGCGUCCACCGCACCAUUUCAUACAUAUGCAUCAUAAAUCAGUUCUUACCUGUGCGUCCACCGCACCAAUUCAUACAUAUGCAUCAUAAAUCAAUUCUUACCUGUGCGUCCACCGCACCAAUUCAUACAUAUGCAUCAUAUAUCAAUUCUUACAUGUGCGUCCACCGCACCAAUUCAUACAUAUGCAUCAUAUAUUAAUUCAUGCAUGGCAUUUCAACUCACAUUUCUAUAUACUUUUCAUAUCAAUUCUAUGCAUGGUAUUUCACUUCCCGUUUUUCCACAUAACUCAUAUGCAUUUCAUUUUAAACAUAAUUUCAUGCAUUUUCAAUUUCUGGGAAAACGUUAAGUAUAUAUAUAUAUAUACGGAAAACAAAACUGCCCACUCACCUGGAGUUCAUCCAACAACUCCCUAGCACCACACAUCAAGGCGUCACGACGAUCGCCGCCUAGAAUAGUAAUCAAAUCCAACCUCAGAAUUCAUAUCGAUAGAAUAUUUAAACUUAUAUAAAAUACGUCACUACGUAGUUCGAUCCGGAAGAUCUGCCACUCAGAUUUUAAAUCCAUAACUUCCAGAGGUCCACAUUAUACCUCUAGGACAACAUCCUAAAAUUUCAUUACCAUCCAACGGUUGGAUUUCCGUCAAUUUCCAAAACUAAGUGACGGUUAACAUUUUAUAUUAUGGACUUACAAUUCCAAUUCCGGAAGAUCCGUAACUCGGAUUCCCAAUCCGUAAGUUCCAAUAAUCCUCAAAUAUAUUACGUACUAUAACGUAUCAAAGUUUUGGUGAUGAUCCAACGGUCGGAUCAUCAAUUCACAUUUUCACCUAAAUGUGAAAACUAUAAAACGUUAUUUGAACACCUAACCAACAAUCUUCAAUAACUUUCUCAUACGGUGUUCAAUUUAGGUAUAUGAAUAUACCACAGUGAUCUACUCGACGUCACGGACGUCGACAUAUUUUUUAAAAUAAUUUUAUUUUUAUUUUUUAUUUUUACUGUAGCACCUUCUUCUUCCUUGGGUCGCCGGACUGGUUUUUCCGGCGGCCGUUUUCCGGGCAGUUUUUCAAAUUGCCAUAACUACUUUGUCAUUUCUCAACGAAAUCAAGUGAUUCAAAACUAAAGUUGUAGCCCUUGAAUAUACAAAGAGAAUGGUACCUUGAACAACACCUAGUUCGCCGUGGUUUGGCCGGAAACUGCCUCGAAAGCCUCGGAGGUCGCCGGAAACUGGGUAUUUUUCAAAUGAGUAUAACUUCUUCAAUACUCAACGAAAUUGAGUGAAACAAAAAAGGAAAGUUGUAUUACUUGACGAGACGAAGAGAUUGAUACCUACCUCGACUCCUAACUCGCCGGGGAUUCGCCGGAAAAAGCCUCGAAAGCUCCGGCCAAACUUUGAACUUGUCGAUCUCCGUGUUCUUACGUCCAAAAACUUCCAACGAAGCACUCCGAGCUUCCUUGGGACCUCACUAAGCUCACUAUGAGCUUGGAUUGUCCUAAAAAUCAACCAAUUCAAAGCUCAUGAACAGUACACUUUCAUGGGGAGUUUAGAAUCUAGGUUUUCCGAAGUAAAACUUACCUGAAAUGGAUACCAACGUGAUCGUGAAGUCCUCAGGAUUCCAAUGGUGGUCUCAAACUUGACGUUGGUAUAGAUUUAGGGUGGUUUUGGUGGUGGUCCGUGAGUUCGAAGGAGAGGGAGAGAGAACUGAGAGUUUCGUGAGGGAGGAGAGAGAGAGACAGUAUGCAGAAAAUAGGGAGAGGAUUGAGGGAUGUGGGGAUCCCUCGUGGUCCUUUUCCAAUCCCCAACUCCAAACCACAAAAUUUUAACCUAAAAAUCUAAGUUCCAUCCUUAAUAAAUUCCAUUUUAUUUUCAAACUUAGGAACCUAGAUAAUUAGCAACCUGAGCUUCACAAAUUUAGUAUUUCUUAAGGGCAAUUUCGUCCAUUCACAGCCACGAAUAUAAUAAUUUGGAACGGGCUGUGACAAUCUUCCCUCCUUAUAGAAUUUCGUCCCCGAAAUUCCAACAACCAACCAAUUCAUCAACACUUAUACCAACCUCGGUAAGUUUUUUUUUCAUCCGAUUCUUUUUCUCCCACGUAAUUUUCUUCCACUGAAUGAUUCCUUCACAAAACUUUUACCAUUUACUCUAUCUUAACUCUCAGGACCUUCUUUUUCCAAUCCAAAUUCUACUUUUCUAAGGUGAACACUUCUAAAAUAUAAAACCAUUUGCCUUAUAUACUCGAUUAGUGGCAUAUCCAUCUGUUGAUGUCUUUUGUCAUUCCUGGUUACUUUUAGGUUAACUUAAUCACCUGAAUACUUUGAGGAGACUCAUCCAUAGUCUCAGGGUCUACUAAAACUCUUUCUCGAUCGAAUCUUUCUCUACCCAGAAAUAUUCCAUUCACAAGACAACAAAAUACACACAUGACACACUUCAUGAACCUUAUGGCUUCACUUCGGAAACUGCGCAACCAACAUACUUAAGAAACUUAGCAGUUCCGUAAUCCAAUUCUCUUUCCAUUUCCGUUUCGAAACAGAAAAUAGUUGUCUCAAUCCAAAGGUUUAUUUCUUUCUGCCUCAAUCUGCUGACCAAUAAAAAUGUCGAAUGGUAUGAUAAACCUUAUUACUUUCGGAAUAUUGCAGAAGUUGAACAGUGAACUUCGUCCAAUAUUUGCUUGCUUCAAAUCCUCAGCAUUAGGCACAUACUUUUUGUUUUCUUGUAUCCACAUACCAUUUGAGUCUCGAGUACGACCUUACCAAAAGGCCUAACUUGAAACUUAGCAAGUAUAACUUCUUCUCGAUCUUUCAUUCUUAACUUUACUUUAGUUGAUUUCCAAUCCACAAGAAGAUAAUCUUGGCAAGCGUACUAGAUAUUAAUUCUUACUGCAGUCUUCUUAUCAAGUGCUUCAGCUAGAACAAACUUUACGAUCACCCUGAUCGUACAAUCAUGUUCAUUAAGCAAUACAAUUCACUUUCGCUGCCUCAUAUCAAAAUCCUUCCAAGUAAUGGAUAUUGAAGACUCUUUUGAUUUGUAAAAUCUUGCAUUCUCACUAAAAUAUAAUGUCUCCUUAACUUCACAGCAAGGAUGGUAAUCGUGACUUCCAAAAUCACUAGUAGGGUAAUUCAUCUCAUGAGAUUCCAUUUGUCGUGAAACGUAUGCAAUCACCCUAACAUUUGCAUUAGUACAUAUCCAAGAACAUUUAAUGUAACAUCACCAAAAAUUUAUGAUUACCCACUAUUCUCUGGGAAUACCAAAAUACGUGCAUGAGUGAGGAAAUACUUCAGUUGUUGAAUCCUUUGCUUACAAUUCCUUCCCACUCAUACAUAACCUCUUUUCUCAUCAGUCUCGUUAAUGACAAAGCAAUGACUAAAAAUUCUUUCACAACCAUCCAAAAUAGCCUGGUAAGCUAAGAAAUUCCAAAUCUCAAUUACGACUCGUGGUUGUUCCAAAUUCUCAAUUUCUGCUAUCCUUUAAGGAUUCACUUGAAUACCUUAAGCAGUCAUAACAAAUUUUAGAAUGCCACUUGAUCCAUUUAACUUUAGCUUUUGCUAAACUUAGCAUACAACUAACGUUCUCUCAAUCUUUGCUUCAUUGACUUAAUACGUUUACAUACUCUGCUCUGGCUCAGAAUAUGCCAGAAUAUCUUCAAUGGAAAUGAUAUCAAUUUAUCAAGGCAUUAUUGGAAUACUUCAUCCAAUAACUCAUAAAACAGCAUGAGUAUCCAUAUAGCAUCACCAUAGUUCAUAAAACAAUCUUAAGAACAACGUCGCUCAUAAUCUUUAAUUGGUAAUAACCAGACCUCAAUUCAAUCUUUGAAUCUUCGCAAUUACUUCUGAGCUGGUUAAAUAAACAUCAGUACAUCACCAUGGAUAACGGUUCUCAAUCGUUACCCGACUCCAUUGUCUAUAAUCAAUGAACAGUCUCAAGAUCCAUUUUCUUCCUCACCAACAAACUGGUGCUCCUCAAAAGUGUUGUACUAGGUUGAAUAAAACUUUUAUCAACCAAUUCUCUCAACUGAAUUUCCAAUUCCCUUAACUCAUCAUGAACCAAUCUUUAACAUAAAUUUAUACCUGGCAACAAAUCAAUAAUGAACCUCAUAUCUCUGCCUGAAGACAAUCCAGGUAUACUUUCAGAGAAGACAUCAAGAAAAGUCUAACCCUUUCGACAUUAUUCACACUACUCCAAACAACAUCAUUUAGCACCACAUGAGCUAAGUAUUUUUGACAGCCUUUCAAAACAAUCUCUUUGCUUUCACAGCAUAAAUAAUGGCUGAACUCACUUCACUUUGCAUACUUACAAAAGUAAUCUCUGGUCAUCCAGAUCGAUGGAAAGUGACUGGUUUCCCGUAACAAUCCAUUUAGUCACAAUUAUAACCAACCAAUCUAAUGGAACAGAAUUAACUGAUACAAUAUAUAUUCUAUUAUUAUUAAGCAUUCUAAAUAAGUACAACACUAACAUAAAAUAAUCUACCGGGUUACUUGCUUAACGAAUCCACGAAUGAGUUAUAAAUAUUACGGUCUGCAGCCCGCAAUACUGAUAAAUCAUCGUUGUCUCGAUAAGUAGGCAACCACUCACAAAGAUAUAACAUUACUAUUUUGUCACUCAAUGCAAAAUACAUACACUCGUCUCAACUACAUUUAUUUACCACUCUCUAGGUAAUAUCAUACAUAAUAAGAAAUAUAUCAGCCGAAGUCAACUAGAAUGACCAAUACGGUUGAUUCAACUCUUAUCUCAAUAAUACGUCGGCCGGAUCCACUCCGCGUGGUCGGUACGGCCGAGCCUAUAACUCACUAAUUUCUCAUGUGUCAAUCGAAUCCACUUCUCAUGGUCUGUACAGCUGAACAUAUAACUCAUCAAAUCUCUCUGUACUCACGGUCAAUCCGACCAAACUACUAAGUCCAUAACUCUGCUGAAUCGACACUAUGAUAUCAUGGAAAAUUAUUGAGUACAACUGAUUCUAGGGACGAUUCACAAUUCUGUGUCCCCUCUGUUCACAUAAACACAUUCAUUAAUUUCACAUUUCCCAAAGUGUUAAUUUUGUACCUGCUGCACAAAGUACAUUUCCUUUACUCGAGACACCUUGUCUCAAAUAUCUGGGAUUACCAGUAUAUCCAUCACUUUUACUCUGACCAGCGACAUUAAAACCUCAGCUGGAAGAAUUAACUCUAGCUUCACUUCUUUCGAAGCUCUGAAUCCUUCGAUAUUCUUGAUAUGACGAAUCAUUAACUUUAUUGUCUUCUUUUAAUUCCCAUUCUUUUCUUAUUCUUCUUUAUUCUCGUUGCUCAUGUUCUCAGAGUCCUCAAGGCUCAACAACAUCUAGCAUACUCCUGAUAAGAACUACAAUGGAUAGUGGUCACCCAAAAUACCACUUCCCUUUUUUGCCACCCAGCUUAAAACAACAUAAACACCUCCACCAAAUUAACAACAAUAUCUGGAUGGAACGAGGCAAGUCUGAAAACUUUCUAUAAUAUCCCUCGAUCAUCACCUUCCUUGUCUCAUAUUUGUAAACUCUUGUUUACUACCAUCAAUAAAUGUCGGAGGGAUAAACUUUUCCUUAAAAAAUUUUAAAUCGGCUGAUUCCUCUGGUGACAACAAAUUAACAUUCCUGUUUCCACCAGGAUACAAUUUCAUACCCAAAACCAGGUAGUCGUCUCGACCCACCUGUCAGAAGGAAAUUUCCUUUGACUUGCAUAAUCUGAAACAUCUUUUCCAAUUGGUUAAACCGUCACUCCGCUCCCUCAGGUUCAUCAUUUCAUAAGGUGAUUCAAAUUCAACUCAUAACCCGUCUUAAAAUGUCCAUUUUGAUAAUAUACUGAAUCACCAUAAUAAUAGUUUCCCCCAAACCGCUAAAUUAGGGAGACUAAAUUCCUCUAACUACGUGGUUUGCUACGAGGCGGUGUAGUUCUGACAGAAUUCACUAUAAACUUCUCAAGAUGUCCAAGAUUGCAACCAUGCUCUGAUACCAACUGACACACCCCGUCCCGAAGGAGGGCAUGCUGGCCGUCACGUGAGAGUGACGUAACCAUUUGCACAGUACGGAAGCUUUAAUUAUACAAUUUAUAAGUUGAUACACCCGAAGGUGAGUCCUAAUUUUGUCCAAUCUGUCAGAACACCGUCGAAUUCCUCGUAGUCACCACACCUUUGUGAUUCCUGAACCUGGAGGGGCGCAAAACCAAAAUUGAGUGGGUCAGUAAAACAAUUCUUUUCCAAAUCCAAACAUUUCUCAAAACGUUGUAACCCCUCUCCGUAAAACCUGUAUACUUUCCCAGAAAUGUAAAAUAUAAAUAUACAUAUAUAUUCUCAAAACUUCAUUUUUACUAUCUCAACAUUAUCUCUUUAUCAAUCAUGUCAUGCCAUGUCAUCUCAACAUUUCUCAUAUUAAUUAUGCCAUGCCACAUCCUCUCAACAGUAAUAAGGUAUGAAUGCAUCAACAUAAUCAUAUCAGGUGCAAGAAAGUAAUCAACCGUAGGCCCUCUAAUAGCCCUAUACGGUUGAACCUAGAGCUCAAAAUCUAUCAUUAUCACUCUACCGGAGUCACCUCUGUGACCCGUCCGGCCUUCUGCACACAAGUUACGCUCUAGUGCUUCUCAUAAAUCAUCUGUGCACAUAAUCUAAGGUCACCCACCAGUCGGAAUCUCACUAACACUCUCGCGACUGGUCUGUCGUACCCACUCCGCGUGGACUGUACGACUAGCAUCUACUUGGAUCCAAGGCGAGCGUGCGAUGCGGUGAAUACUAUAAGCACUAAACCAUGGUGCAGGAUUUGAGCUCAAUAUAUAUCAUCAUCAUCAUAACAGUAAUUAAAUACUCAUCUGUGCGUCCACCGCACCAUUUCAUACAUAUGCAUCAUAAAUCAGUUCUUACCUGUGCGUCCACCGCACCAAUUCAUACAUAUGCAUCAUAAAUCAAUUCUUACCUGUGCGUCCACCGCACCAAUUCAUACAUAUGCAUCAUAUAUCAAUUCUUACAUGUGCGUCCACCGCACCAAUUCAUACAUAUGCAUCAUAUAUUAAUUCAUGCAUGGCAUUUCAACUCACAUUUCUAUAUACUUUUCAUAUCAAUUCUAUGCAUGGUAUUUCACUUCCCGUUUUUCCACAUAACUCAUAUGCAUUUCAUUUUAAACAUAAUUUCAUGCAUUUUCAAUUUCUGGGAAAACGUUAAGUAUAUAUAUAUAUACGGAAAACAAAACUGCCCACUCACCUGGAGUUCAUCCAACAACUCCCUAGCACCACACAUCAAGGCGUCACGACGAUCGCCGCCUAGAAUAGUAAUCAAAUCCAACCUCAGAAUUCAUAUCGAUAGAAUAUUUAACUUAUAUAAAAUACGUCACUACGUAGUUCGAUCCGGAAGAUCUGCCACUCAGAUUUUAAAUCCAUAACUUCCAGAGGUCCACAUUAUACCUCUAGGACAACAUCCUAAAAUUUCAUUACCAUCCAACGGUUGGAUUUCCGUCAAUUUCCAAAACUAAGUGACGGUUAACAUUUUAUAUUAUGGACUUACAAUUCCAAUUCCGGAAGAUCCGUAACUCGGAUUCCCAAUCCGUAAGUUCCAAUAAUCCUCAAAUAUUACGUACUAUAACGUAUCAAAGUUUGGUGAUGAUCCAACGGUCGGAUCAUCAAUUCACAUUUUCACCUAAAUGUGAAAACUAUAAAACGUUAUUUGAACACCUAACCAACAAUCUUCAAUAACUUUCUCAUACGGUGUUCAAUUUAGGUAUAUGAAUAUACCACAGUGAUCUACUCGACGUCACGGACGUCGACAUAUUUUUAAAAUAAUUUUAUUUUUAUUUUUUAUUUUUACUGUAGCACCUUCUUCUUCCUUGGGUCGCCGGACUGGUUUUUCCGGCGGCCGUUUUCCGGGCAGUUUUUCAAAUUGCCAUAACUUUGUCAUUUCUCAACGAAAUCAAG
rnacentral:lncRNA from 1 species